UAUCACUGCCGUCCAGGGCAAAAAACGGGCGGACCACAGUAUGAUACCAGAGCAGCGCUAAUCUGAAGGAAGAGGGAGAGAAACCGCUACUGUCACUUUAUUGAGGAAGCACUUAGGGAAAUGCAGCAUUCCAGGGGAGAGCAACAGGAGUGUCCCAGGACUCGCCCUACUCCAGGUCCCCAGUGCGGUGACCGAAACAUCUGAGCGCAGCCAGACUCCGACAGGAGGAGCCGAGGCUGCGUGAGGACCGGGUGGAGAAGCUGCGCUCCGGGCCCACAGCACCGCGGCCCCAGUGGGAGGGACACUUAGUCAGCUGAUGCCCA